AAGUCAUUAAGGGCUUACGGUGGAUACCUUGGCAUUUAGAAGCGAUGAAGGGCGUG
rnacentral:rRNA from 1 species